AUUGUUAUCACAUCUACAAAACAAUUCUGUGGUGAGGUUACCCAGAAAGUGAGCUUGCAUCUGCUCUCACGGGGGAGUGGGAAGAGCAGCUGUGGACAAAGAAGACAGUGUGAGGACCACAGAGUAGGAGAUGAAAGGUACAUGCUUAUGGAGGGAGACCAAUCUGGGACUGUAGCACCACAAUCUGGCCCGUCAUUUGGAUGUCAUUACUGAGUUGAUUCCAGGUGUCGCUUAUUUUCCCCAGUGUAUUUAUCCCUGUGUUUCCUGUCUCUCUGACCGGUGAGUGGGCCAGGAGAAACAUGAAGAGCUGCUGUGACAUGUGUAGUAUAGACCAGAGCUGUAUGGAGUACAGUACAGUAUAGGAGA